GAUGAACGCUGGCGGCGUGGAUAAGACAUGCAAGUCGAACGGGACUUUUUUCUGUAGCAAUACAGAGAAAAGUCUAGUGGCGAACGGGUGCGUAACACGUGAGCAACCUGCCGUGAAGUGGGGGAUAGCUCGCCGAAAGGCGAAUUAAUACCGCAUGUGGCCAAGGAAGACAUCUUCCUGACGCCAAAGCCGGGGCAACCUGGCGCUUCUCGAGGGGCUCGCGGCCUAUCAGCUUGUUGGUGAUGUAACGGCUCACCAAGGCUAUGACGGGUAGCUGGUCUGAGAGGACGACCAGCCACACUGGAACUGAGACACGGUCCAGACACCUACGGGUGGCAGCAGUCGAGAAUUUUUCACAAUGGGGGAAACCCUGAUGGAGCGACGCCGCGUGGAGGAUGAAGGUUUUCGGAUUGUAAACUCCUGUCAUUAGAGAACAAGGCACACGGUUUAACUGGCCGUGUGUUGAUAGUAUCUGAAGAGGAAGAGACGGCUAACUCCGUGCCAGCAGCCGCAGUAA
rnacentral:rRNA from 1 species